CCUACGGGGGACAGCAGUGGGGAAUAUUGCGCAAUGGGCGUAAGCCUGACCCAGCGACGCCGCGUGAGGGAUGAAGGUCCUCGGAUUGUUAAACUCUGUCUGCCGGGAAGAACGGUCACUGUGCUAUUCCCCAGUGAAUUGACGGUACCUGCAAAGGACGCACCGGCUAACUCCGUGCCCGCCGCCGCGGUAAUACGGAGGGUGCGUGCGGUAAUCGGAAUUACUGGGGGUAAAGCGCUCGUAGGCGGUAUGUCAAGUCAAGGGGGAAAUCCCCGCGCCCAACGUGGGAACUGCCUUUGAAACUGGCAAACUGGAGUGGGUGAGAGGAUAGCGGAAUGCGAGGUGUAGGAGUGAAAUCCAUAGAUAUCGGGAAGAACAUCAGUGGCGAAGGCGACAAGCUGGCACAUAACUGACGCUGAGGAGCGAAAGCGUGGGUAUCGAACAGGAUUAGAUACCCGGGUAGUC
rnacentral:rRNA from 1 species